rnacentral:lncRNA from 1 species
CCCAUACCCAAAUAUAAUCUAAAGGGGUUAAACUGAGAAAAAGAACACCGGUGAGACAAAGGGAUUUAAACUGGAGGAACAAGGAAAGAAAAAGUGCAUUCCUACUUACCUCAAGGGUUCUGUGCAAUGAAGUAGAAAAAGAACAGAAAGAAUUUCAGAGAGACUCAUCAGCAUCAUCACAGGGAUCCUUGAUGAAGCAGAUGGAAAAUACAGCAUGAACCCUAAUAAAAAUGCUUCCUGUGCCAAUCCUGAGACCACAGUGACUGUGGAACCUGAAUUAACAUAUGUCAUGAGAGGAAAGGAAGCUGAACAAAGAGCACAGUGAAGUGACUUGGCCUGACCUCAUUUCCUU